rnacentral:rRNA from 1 species
UACGGAGGGGGGCUAGCGUUGUUCGGAAUUACUGGGCGUAAAGGGCGCGUAGGCGGUUGGAUAAGUCAGCUGUGAAAACCACGAGCUCAACUUGUGGCCUGCAGUUGAGACUGUCUGGCUAGAGUGUGGGAGAGGGAAGUGGAAUUCCUGGUGUAGCGGUGAAAUGCGCAGAUAUCAGGAGGAACACCGAUGGCGAAGGCAGGUCUCUGGGCAUUAACUGACGCUGAGGAGCGAAAGCAUGGGGAGCGAACAGG